rnacentral:lncRNA from 1 species
AGACGGAUGCAUACACUUACAUGAGGGACCAAGUACAGGCAGGUUCACAGGUUGGCAAGCAUAAAGGCCAUGGGGGUGGGAAGGAAGGACAGAUAGGAGGCUGUGAGCACAGAGCCUCCACCUGCAGCAAUGAACGAGUCAACAGCUCACAACAUCACACAUACCAACCACAGAACUGCUACCUCAAAGUCACAAAUUCUGGAGACAUGUUAUAAAUCAAUUUUCCAAAAAUUAACAUUUAAAAAGGAAACCUAAUAGUUUUACCAAAAAUAAAAAAGGAACAUGGAAAUACAUAACUAUUUAAAUUUAAAAACCCUAUAAGCAAAACAACAACAACACAACAAACUUAUAAGCAGGACACUCCAGCCCAUCCUGUGCACCAAACAGCAAGGGCCUCUCAGAGCACAGAGCCAGAGCCUCUCAGAGCAGCGUCAGGUCGGGUGGGGUCGGCACACAGCCUGGCCAGUGCAAUCCUGCUUCACCUGCUGAUGGAUCCCACGGGUGGGCUGUGUGGAACACGGCUAUGAUGUUCAUGGUUUCUCAGUGAAUUAAGUGUAGCUAACGCUAACAAAACAGGAGAGAUGCAUGGGAGAUGGAUGGGUUCCAUGGAACAUACCCACCAGAGACAACCGUUCCUGGCUAGAAACCCUACAAGGCCAGGUCUAUCCUGGGUCAGGAGUGCCAAGCACAAUGUGUUAUUUCUUUAGCCCUAACUCAAGUCCAAGGUAGAUAAUGAUUAACCCUUCUUAUACACAGGAAAGUCAAGGGAGCAAGAGGGUUAUGAAGUAAACAAGAGACAGUCCAGGGUGAGAGCUGGUGUCCUUACACAGUGUCUUUCUGGCCAGUAUGCUGUUUGCCUCCCCAACAGCCUUUGUGGGGAAGCCAGUGUCUACAUUUAAGACAGAGUACGGGUGGACAUGUCUUUUCAUGAGCUACCAUCAUCAUACACUUUGACAGAAAACCACAACCAGCCACGCGCCAAAACACGCCACUUCAAGGAACAAAUCUUAUGAAUAUACAAAGCCUACAUGAAGAAGCCUUGGCUCUGUCCUACUAAAAAUGUCUGUUUGCCAAGAGAUCUGGGUAGCAAUGGGGUGUUGGCUGACCUUCAUUUGCUGAGGCAGGAGUGCUGAUAAAGAAAACUCCAAGGUCCCUGUCCUGUGCCUGCUCAUGUCCCCAGGACCGAAGAACACUGAACAUACAUGAGCUGAGUCAGUCGUCAGCUGCCUGUGACCUGAACAAGCCGUGUAAGCACAGGUCACUGAGCCCUUCAACAGUCACACUGUUGUCUGUGGAGCACAAAUUAUCUGUGAGCUGCACACACAUGAGACAGGUAUCCGUAUCAUGAUGUAUUCAAACAGUAUGAAGUUAAUAGGACGCUGGGAUAGCCUAAGGAAAGGCAGCUCCAGACAACUAGGCCAAAGGAAUUAUUUAGCUAAUAAUUUAUGAUGCUAAGGAAAACAGUCAUUUAAAAAUAGUCAUAUUACCUCACGCAAUACACCAAAGCAACUUCUGGAAGCUGAAAGGGUUAAACGUCAAAAUGGAUCCAAAGAACGUGUGAUAUGCAUGACACGCUGACAGCAAAGCCUGCCAGGACUGAUUCAAAGACUUGCUGAGGUCUUAAAAUACAAACUGCAAACCUAAAAACCAUUCUGUACAGCAGACGGACAGAAGUGUCCACAGAUGAAGCAGAAGGCUGACAUGGACAGACAUGUAACAUGUUCUAGAUGUUACAGCUAGUGAGUCCUGGCCCCCACACCAAAUAGAUACCUCUCUUCCUCUCUUCCUCUCUUCCUCUCUCUCUCUCUCUCUCUCUCUCUCUCUCUCUCUCUCUCUCUCUCUCUCUCUCAAAAUCAAAGAUGAAACUACCAGGCUGAGGGAGCCAUUUGCUGGGUGGGAAUGGCUGGACCUCAUGGGGAACACAUCUGAGAACAAUGAUUUAACGUUUUUUUCUAAUGGUUCCCACUGUGGCCUGAGAAGCUCAGCCAGCAUGCAGUCCAUUUUGUCCUAUGUCACUCAGUAAAUGUGUAGCCACAUCAGACUUCCUGACCCCAGACAUCACACCAACUCCAGAUAGAGCCAAAGGAGUCAGGCAAACAAAGCAGUUCACCAAACAUGUUGAAUUAGACCAAGCUUUCUGAGCUCAUCAUAAGAUGCAGAAAAAAAUACCAAUAAACAAGUACAUCUGUAUAUUUAAAAUGCUCAACAGCAAAGUGUCAUAAAC